CAGCCGCCGCGGUAAUACGUAGGUGGCAAGCGUUGUCCGGAAUUAUUGGGCGUAAAGGGCUCGCAGGCGGUUUCUUAAGUCUGAUGUGAAAGCCCCCGGCUCAACCGGGGAGGGUCAUUGGAAACUGGGAAACUUGAGUGCAGAAGAGGAGAGUGGAAUUCCACGUGUAGCGGUGGAAUGCGUAGAGAUGUGGAGGAACACCAGUGGCGAAGGCGACUCUCUGGUCUGUGACUGACGCUGAGGAGCGAAAGCGUGGGGAGCGAACAGGAUUAGAUACCCGUGUAGUCCCUGUCUCUUAUAC
rnacentral:rRNA from 1 species